rnacentral:tRNA from 1 species
ACCAUGGUGGCUCAGUUGUUAAAGCAUCUGACUUCAGCUCAGGUCAUGAUUUUACAGUUUGUGAGUUCAAGCCCCACUUGAGGUA